UACGUAGGGUGCAAGCGUUGUCCGGAAUUAUUGGGCGUAAAGAGCUCGUAGGCGGUCUGUCGCGUCGGCUGUGAAAUCCCGAGGCUCAACCUCGGGUCUGCAGUCGAUACGGGCAAACUAGAGUAUUGCAGGGGAGACUGGAAUUCCUGGUGUAGCGGUGAAAUGCGCAGAUAUCAGGAGGAACACCGGUGGCGAAGGCGGGUCUCUGGGCAAUAACUGACGCUGAGGAGCGAGAGCGUGGGGAGCAAACAGG
rnacentral:rRNA from 1 species